rnacentral:rRNA from 1 species
GAUGAACGCUGGCGGCGUGCUUAACACAUGCAAGUCGAACGAAGCAUUUGCAACAGAUUUCUUCGGGAUGAAGUUGCUUAUGACUGAGUGGCGGACGGGUGAGUAACGCGUGGGUAACCUGCCUUGUACUGGGGGAUAGCAGCUGGAAACGGCUGGUAAUACCGCAUAAGCGCACAAUGUUGCAUGACAUGGUGUGAAAAACUCCGGUGGUAUAAGAUGGACCCGCGUCUGAUUAGCUAGUUGGUGAGAUAACAGCCCACCAAGGCGACGAUCAGUAGCCGACCUGAGAGGGUGACCGGCCACAUUGGGACUGAGACACGGCCCAGACUCCUACGGGAGGCAGCAGUGGGGAAUAUUGCACAAUGGAGGAAACUCUGAUGCAGCGACGCCGCGUGAGUGAAGAAGUAAUUCGUUAUGUAAAGCUCUAUCAGCAGGGAAGAUAGUGACGGUACCUGACUAAGAAGCUCCGGCUAAAUACGUGCCAGCAGCCGCGGUAAUACGUAUGGAGCAAGCGUUAUCCGGAUUUACUGGGUGUAAAGGGAGUGUAGGUGGCCAUGCAAGUCAGAAGUGAAAAUCCGGGGCUCAACCCCGGAACUGCUUUUGAAACUGUAAGGCUAGAGUGCAGGAGGGGUGAGUGGAAUUCCUAGUGUAGCGGUGAAAUGCGUAGAUAUUAGGAGGAACACCAGUGGCGAAGGCGGCUCACUGGACUGUA